AACGAACGCUGGCGGCAUGCCUAACACAUGCAAGUCGAACGAGACCUUCGGGUCUAGUGGCGCACGGGUGCGUAACGCGUGGGAACCUGCCCUUAGGUUCGGAAUAACUCCCCGAAAGGGGUGCUAAUACCGGAUAAUGUCUUCGGACCAAAGAUUUACCGCCUUUGGAUGGGCCCGCGUUGGAUUAGCUAGUUGGUAGGGUAAAAGCCUACCAAGGCGACGAUCCAUAGCUGGUCUGAGAGGAUGAUCAGCCACACUGGGACUGAGACACGGCCCAGACUCCUACAGGAGGCAGCAGUGGGGAAUAUUGGACAAUGGGCGAAAGCCUGAUCCAGCAAUGCCGCGUGAGUGAUGAAGGCCUUAGGGUUGUAAAGCUCUUUUACCCGGGAUGAUAAUGACAGUACCGGGAGAAUAAGCGCCGGCUAACUCCGUG
rnacentral:rRNA from 1 species